UACGUAGGGGGCUAGCGUUGUCCGGAUUUAUUGGGCGUAAAGAGCGUGUAGGCGGCCAGGUAGGUCUGCUGUGAAACUCGAGGCUCAACCUCGAGACGUCGGCGGAAACCAUCUGGCUAGAGUCCGGAAGAGGAGAGUGGAAUUCCGUGGUGUAGCGGUGAAAUGCGCAGAUAUCAGGAAGAACACCCGUGGCGAAGGCGGCUCUCUGGGACGGUACUGACGCUGAGACGCGAAAGCGUGGGGAGCGAACAGG
rnacentral:rRNA from 1 species